UUAAGCGACUAAGCGUACACGGUGGAUGCCCUGGCAGUCAGAGGCGAUGAAGGACGUGCUAAUCUGCGAUAAGCGUCGGUAAGGUGAUAUGAACCGUUAUAACCGGCGAUUUCCGAAUGGGGAAACCCAGUGUGUUUCGACACACUAUCAUUAACUGAAUCCAUAGGUUAAUGAGGCGAACCGGGGGAACUGAAACAUCUAAGUACCCCGAGGAAAAGAAAUCAACCGAGAUUCCCCCAGUAGCGGCGAGCGAACGGGGAGCAGCCCAGAGCCUGAAUCAGUGUGUGUGUUAGUGGAAGCGUCUGGAAAGGCGCGCGAUACAGGGUGACAGCCCCGUACACAAAAAUGCACAUGCUGUGAGCUCGAUGAGUAGGGCGGGACACGUGGUAUCCUGUCUGAAUAUGGGGGGACCAUCCUCCAAGGCUAAAUACUCCUGACUGACCGAUAGUGAACCAGUACCGUGAGGGAAAGGCGAAAAGAACCCCGGCGAGGGGAGUGAAAAAGAACCUGAAACCGUGUACGUACAAGCAGUGGGAGCACGCUUAGGCGUGUGACUGCGUACCUUUUGUAUAAUGGGUCAGCGACUUAUAUUCUGUAGCAAGGUUAACCGAAUAGGGGAGCCGAAGGGAAACCGAGUCUUAACUGGGCGUUAAGUUGCAGGGUAUAGACCCGAAACCCGGUGAUCUAGCCAUGGGCAGGUUGAAGGUUGGGUAACACUAACUGGAGGACCGAACCGACUAAUGUUGAAAAAUUAGCGGAUGACUUGUGGCUGGGGGUGAAAGGCCAAUCAAACCGGGAGAUAGCUGGUUCUCCCCGAAAGCUAUUUAGGUAGCGCCUCGUGAAUUCAUCUCCGGGGGUAGAGCACUGUUUCGGCAAGGGGGUCAUCCCGACUUACCAACCCGAUGCAAACUGCGAAUACCGGAGAAUGUUAUCACGGGAGACACACGGCGGGUGCUAACGUCCGUCGUGAAGAGGGAAACAACCCAGACCGCCAGCUAAGGUCCCAAAGUCAUGGUUAAGUGGGAAACGAUGUGGGAAGGCCCAGACAGCCAGGAUGUUGGCUUAGAAGCAGCCAUCAUUUAAAGAAAGCGUAAUAGCUCACUGGUCGAGUCGGCCUGCGCGGAAGAUGUAACGGGGCUAAACCAUGCACCGAAGCUGCGGCAGCGACGCUUAUGCGUUGUUGGGUAGGGGAGCGUUCUGUAAGCCUGUGAAGGUGUGCUGUGAGGCAUGCUGGAGGUAUCAGAAGUGCGAAUGCUGACAUAAGUAACGAUAAAGCGGGUGAAAAGCCCGCUCGCCGGAAGACCAAGGGUUCCUGUCCAACGUUAAUCGGGGCAGGGUGAGUCGACCCCUAAGGCGAGGCCGAAAGGCGUAGUCGAUGGGAAACAGGUUAAUAUUCCUGUACUUGGUGUUACUGCGAAGGGGGGACGGAGAAGGCUAUGUUGGCCGGGCGACGGUUGUCCCGGUUUAAGCGUGUAGGCUGGUUUUCCAGGCAAAUCCGGAAAAUCAAGGCUGAGGCGUGAUGACGAGGCACUACGGUGCUGAAGCAACAAAUGCCCUGCUUCCAGGAAAAGCCUCUAAGCAUCAGGUAACAUCAAAUCGUACCCCAAACCGACACAGGUGGUCAGGUAGAGAAUACCAAGGCGCUUGAGAGAACUCGGGUGAAGGAACUAGGCAAAAUGGUGCCGUAACUUCGGGAGAAGGCACGCUGAUAUGUAGGUGAAGUCCCUCGCGGAUGGAGCUGAAAUCAGUCGAAGAUACCAGCUGGCUGCAACUGUUUAUUAAAAACACAGCACUGUGCAAACACGAAAGUGGACGUAUACGGUGUGACGCCUGCCCGGUGCCGGAAGGUUAAUUGAUGGGGUUAGCCGCAAGGCGAAGCUCUUGAUCGAAGCCCCGGUAAACGGCGGCCGUAACUAUAACGGUCCUAAGGUAGCGAAAUUCCUUGUCGGGUAAGUUCCGACCUGCACGAAUGGCGUAAUGAUGGCCAGGCUGUCUCCACCCGAGACUCAGUGAAAUUGAACUCGCUGUGAAGAUGCAGUGUACCCGCGGCAAGACGGAAAGACCCCGUGAACCUUUACUAUAGCUUGACACUGAACAUUGAGCCUUGAUGUGUAGGAUAGGUGGGAGGCUUAGAAGUGUGGACGCCAGUCUGCAUGGAGCCGACCUUGAAAUACCACCCUUUAAUGUUUGAUGUUCUAACGUUGACCCGUAAUCCGGGUUGCGGACAGUGUCUGGUGGGUAGUUUGACUGGGGCGGUCUCCUCCUAAAGAGUAACGGAGGAGCACGAAGGUUGGCUAAUCCUGGUCGGACAUCAGGAGGUUAGUGCAAUGGCAUAAGCCAGCUUGACUGCGAGCGUGACGGCGCGAGCAGGUGCGAAAGCAGGUCAUAGUGAUCCGGUGGUUCUGAAUGGAAGGGCCAUCGCUCAACGGAUAAAAGGUACUCCGGGGAUAACAGGCUGAUACCGCCCAAGAGUUCAUAUCGACGGCGGUGUUUGGCACCUCGAUGUCGGCUCAUCACAUCCUGGGGCUGAAGUAGGUCCCAAGGGUAUGGCUGUUCGCCAUUUAAAGUGGUACGCGAGCUGGGUUUAGAACGUCGUGAGACAGUUCGGUCCCUAUCUGCCGUGGGCGCUGGAGAACUGAGGGGGGCUGCUCCUAGUACGAGAGGACCGGAGUGGACGCAUCACUGGUGUUCGGGUUGUCAUGCCAAUGGCACUGCCCGGUAGCUAAAUGCGGAAGAGAUAAGUGCUGAAAGCAUCUAAGCACGAAACUUGCCCCGAGAUGAGUUCUCCCUGACCCUUUAAGGGUCCUGAAGGAACGUUGAAGACGACGACGUUGAUAGGCCGGGUGUGUAAGCGCAGCGAUGCGUUGAGCUAACCGGUACUAAUGAACCGUGAGGCUUAACCU
rnacentral:rRNA from 1 species